GCGGCCGAUGGAGGUUGGUUGCUCGUGGCGCGGAUCGAAGUGUAGCCGAAUUGGGGAAUUCUCGCUCAAUGUGUUGGUGGCAAGGGAGUUUGAGGGUUUCAACUUUGAGCAAGGACGGAAUGGGUUGGCGGCUCGUGGCGCAAACCUGAGUGUGUGCAGUAGUUGGUAACUCCCACGAAAUGUGUGGUGUGAGACAGAGGUUGAGAAGGAGAGUUGGCACGGCCCGCCCAUGGUUGGGACUCGAGAAAAAGGAGUUAGAAUUUGGUACGUUCAUACGUGAAGUAUGUUCCAUUCGCGUGUUUUGUAGAAUGGGUAGUGAAAUUUAUUGUGUUUCCAUUGAAGUUAGUUCGCGCUAUGAAAUUAUCUGCUUCGGUGCUAGGAUACAUUGUGUUAAUUAUGCACCAUAUGGAAUGUUAGGAUGGUAUGACUCACAUAUAAAAUUAUAAAUUACUAGUGACCGUGUCAAGAGCCGGCAAUCAAAGUUUGUUUAGGGCCAGAAACAUAACAUGACAAUUAACCUUUACCUCAAAGUCUAGUGCAGCUCGACUUGCUGCACACAAAAAAGAAAGAAAAAGAAAAGUCAAUGCAAUGUUGUGGAAUGGAAGGAAGCAAUGUGGAGAGCCAGUAAUCUUGGCCAUCGGGCCUGGUUUUUUCGGGUGAGGCACGUGAAAAAAACACAGCCCACGGAACGGCACGGCACAGGCCAAAUUGUGCCGGGCCAGGCACGAAGACCACCUCGUGCCAGGCUUUUUCCUAAGAUGCGGCCUGUGGGCUGGCACGAGCACGGCACAGGAAUGAGCGCGCCACAGCACGAUCCGCACGAAAUCGCCCGGCACGGUACCGCACAAGAAAAUCGUAACCACAAACACUAGGCACGGUUUGCUAAUGAGCGGCACGAGAGCACGAUCCGUUUUUUGGGCCGUCCGUGCAACCCAAUCGUAAAAAAAAUUGGACAGCAACGAUACGAAGGCGAGUAAAUUACAGAAAACCACCACAUUAGGGGCU
rnacentral:lncRNA from 1 species